UAGUGAGGGUGCAAGCGUUAAUCGGAAUUACUGGGCGUAAAGCGUGCGCAGGCGGUUGUGUAAGACAGAUGUGAAAUCCCCCGGGCUCAACCUGGGAACUGCAUUUGUGACUGCACAGCUGGAGUGCGGCAGAGGGGGAUGGAAUUCCGCGUGUAGCAGUGAAAUGCGUAGAUAUGCGGAGGAACACCGAUGGCGAAGGCAAUCCCCUGGGCCUGCACUGACGCUCAUGCACGAAAGCGUGGGGAGCAAACAGG
rnacentral:rRNA from 1 species